CUUCCAUUGGCUGAUCUUGGCAUAUGAUGUCUGGGAUGAGAGGAUUAUGACAGCUAAUUUCUUGCUCCUUCCAUUGGCUGAUCUUGGCAUAUGAUGUCUGGGAUGAGAGGAUUAUGACAGCUAAUUUCUUGCUCCUUCCAUUGGCUGAUCUUGGCAUAUGAUGUCUGGGAUGAGAGGAUUAUGACAGCUAAUUUCUUGCUCCUUCCAUUGGCUGAUCUUGGCAUAUGAUGUCUGGGAUGAGAGGUUGAUGGUUAACUUGAAAUAAUAAGUAAUGCUGGUACUUGAAAGGGUGUGGAAAAGGAGU